GUCUGCAACCCGACUCCACGAAGUUGGAUUCGCUAGUAAUCGCGCAUCAGCCAUGGCGCGGUGAAUACGUUCCCGGGCCUUGUACACACCGCCCGUCAAGCCAUGGGAGCCGGGGGCGCCUGAAGUCCGGGACCGCGAGGACCGGCCUAGGGCGAAACUGGUAACUGGGGCUAAGUCGUAACAAGGUAAC
rnacentral:rRNA from 1 species